UUGUUUUAGGGUUUAGGGUAUAGCGAUGCGGGCGGGCAGCUCAAAGCUUGUAGCGCAGAGGUAUGGGAGCGGGAAAUAGAUUUUCUACGAGGGCUGUCCCCCGGGAAAAAAUUCGGCAGCGCGGGCGUUUCCCAAUCGCCCUCCAGAAAUAGUGCUAGUUCCUGUGGCAUUUGGUAGAGGAAAGCUCCAAGUUUUGCGAUCAUCUCAAGAUCUCCAGUGAUCAAGCUAGCCAUCUUGACUGUCAAUUGUCCAUGCACGAGAAACACACCGACGAGUAGCACGUAGACACAGUUUAAGGAGGUGCUGCGGAGAGGAAGCUACUGGAAACGCCAGAGUUUCUCAUCGCCUUUGCGGUGACUGGCACGAAAUGGCAGCUCUUUGCGAAGAGAGCUUCGGCUCGGCAACUGGAACCUUACGACUUAAGCGAAGGCGACCGAGUGGAAGUUGCUCUGUGGUGUUCUUCAAGCUCUACUUUCUAGCAGCUGGUGAAUGCUGGCGCUGUUUAAGGUGCACGAGCGGCUCUAGUAAACGAUUCAGCUGGACGUGUCUCAACUGGACUGGUUCGUGCGGUGGCUUGGCCGAGCGUCAGCACGGUGCGUAAGAACUUCGCGAGGGACGUGGUUGCUGCUCUCGCCGCUCUGCACGGUGCUGGUCUUGUUCAUCGCAUCUGGUGGGCGGAUGUUCGGAUCUGCAAAUUCUCUUUUGGCAAGUGAUUUCUCUUUUCCAUCAAGUUCUGAGCGUCGAUUUUGUUUGAUUCGGACUUGAGGACAAAGUUCCGAGGACAAACGUGUUGCUUGUACUCCAAUCCGGCAGCAACUCAACGAUGACCAGCAAAGACCAAGGGUACCAUGCAAGCCAAGGCCUUGGAACUUUGGUCCGCUUAGAAAGUCUUGCUUAAACAGAUCCAGUGACGAGGAGGAGGAAGGCAGAGGUUGAGGUUGUCUUUCUUAUCUCCCUUUUAGUUCCUUCGGCCUUGAACUUAAAACAAGUACGUGCUAGAUCUCUCCAUUUUGACAUGCUCAUGUGGUCUCAGGUCCAUCAUGAUGUGUGUGCUAAAGGCAUAAUAAGCUGGUGCUGGCCUCCAGAAGCUGGAGAGAUAUGAUUGACGCGGGUAUCGCCCUCGUUUCACAUAAAAGAAGGCUGCCAGUAUGCAGUGACGUCCCCGGCCCUGGCGUUGCAUGGCCAGGUUGCUUUGCACGUCUCGUCUGUACUCCACACAAGGCUGCGAUUAGGAAAUCCUAAGAGCUCUGAGGAAAAUCCGUCUUGGCAGCACUGCAACUUUGGGGAUUCUGAAACAGAGCUAAAGCCGAGCCGCCGACAGUACCCGCAUUUAUUCCCGCCAGGGCAGCAGCAGCAGCACCGAUAAGAAGAAAGGAACAUUAGAAAAAUGGCCAUUACUUACAGCAGCAGCUGCUACAGCAUUCCUUGAAGUGUGAGAAGAAGGGAAGAUCAUAAAAAACAUUAGAAAUCAGGCCUACUAGUAGCGCAGCUGAACGGGCUCACAGAUGUGAGAGCGGAGGAAAGACGCAGUUUGGAAAGGAACAGGUGCCUCUACAUUUGGAGCUUGGCCAGCAAAGGAAAGAAAAAAAAGCAGACAGCGAUGGUGGCGAUGGUGGAUUACGGAGAAGGUUUGCUCUUCCAGGUGUGGUUUUCUUUGCGGCAGUCAAAGAGAAUUUUUCUCGGUCGCGACUCGGGCGCUCCUGCUAGUAGAUCCUAGAAAUGCUCCGCCAUUAUGACAAUGGUUUUCGGAGGCGUGGUACUCUACCACCACUACCAAGUGGUGUGAAUUCGAUGGAGCAAGCAAGCAGCCUCUGGAAAAGAUAAGAAAGCAGGAGGAAAAAAAAAGAAUUUUUGAAGAAUUCAUUGGCAGUCAGGGGUGGUACUGGUACGAUUCGACCGAGAUCCUCGUCUAGUCCUCGGCGACGCACGACCACGCAGCCACUUAGUCAUUGGGGGGCACCUUUUCCCAAGCCCGGCCAAAUUGCAAGUACCUGGUUGUCCAACAGGGGAGAAAGGAACAGUGUUGGAGCUGUGGCUGGAAGAGCUCACGGGUGGUCUUUAAGCGAGAGAAGAUCGCCGGAAGAAGAAGCAAAGAAGGGAAGAAGCGAAAAGAAAAGCCAAGAACAAAAGAAAGAAAAUGGACGACGAACAGGACCAUAUCAGUCUCUGUGAGAAGAUUUAAAGCUCUCGGGGCAGCGGACAGAGUUCCGUUAUUGGAUUCGGUGCUCGCUCUGGAUCAAAGCUACAAUUUUUAGACAAGAAAACAGAGUGGUGGUGAAGACAAGUUACGCUGGUUUUGGAGAAACGUCUCGAGUUUUUCUUUCUUGU